ACUCACAAGCUGUGAAAGCAUGACCUGAGCUGAAGUCGGACGCUCUAUGGACUGAGCCACCCAGGUGCCCUGAGUACAACUUUAUUUUUGUUUAUUGUUUUAGGAGUAUGUCAUGCUGUUGACUCUUGCUAAAUUUACGGUCGAGAGAAAGCCCUAGAUCUUUCACAAAUUAAAUGCUGUCAACAUCAAAUAUCUUUCAAUCCUGCAAGUUAUCCAAUUAUUUUAAAACUAAAUGUCCUUGUUCCAGUUUAAUAUUGUAUUUGGAAAUACAGUGAGUUUUCAGCAGACACUCCUAGCUCUGAGAGCCAUAGACUCUCUGUCUUCAUAGAAUUUACUCACAACUUUUACAAGGACAGGGCUAAGGACAGGUCCACCAGAGAUUGCUUUCAAGUUUGACAUCGGUUGGCCCGUUGGCAUUCUUUGAGUGUGAUUUUUCAUGAAACUGGGAGUUAAUUUAACAACAGAAAUUUGCUACACGAGCGUGAGUUUUGGAGGCAGAUAAUGUAUUCGCUGUAACAAGGGUUUCACAACUUGAUUGUGCCACUUACUGGGUAUUUGACCUCAAAGAAUUUACAUGCUCUUCCUCAGCCUUGGACUUUCUCAUCUACCAAAUAAAACAUUAAACGGAGGCUUGUGACGUCCACAUGAGGUCACAGGUAAGCUCCAGGCACACAGUAGGGAAGUGAGCGACCCUCUCUUCCUGCCCUUCCCCUAACCAAGCCCCGUACCCCACCGUAUUUCUUCAUCAUGUCUCUGUGCCGACUCGUCUGAAAUCAAGGUUUCUGCGUGCAUGGCGUGACCCGGUGUGCUGGUCUCUUAUUUCCAGUGAUUCUCUCGGGUUAAAAAGAACAUAGUCCCGAUGAUUACUGAGAGUCUCAUGGUGACUUUUAUGUUGCGAUGUUUUCUUCAAAAAGGCUAGCUGAUCUCUCCCGUCGUCAUGGCUACACCUCGAGGUAUCGAUUUAUCCCGAGAGAUCCAAGGCUCCGACAGGGACUGGCAAAGCGUCUAUACUAUGGCACAAAGUGGGAGAAGGGACACUAUCCAACCUCAAGACUUAAUACAGAGCUACAGUCAUCAGGAGAUGUGGUGUUGGUGAGACUAUGGACAAACAGGUCAGGGGGACAGAACACUGAGCCCAGAAACACAUCCACUCAUUUAAGGCGACUGAUCUCUGACCAAGGAGCAAAGGCAAUACAAUGGGGCGAAGGCAGUGUCUCCUGCUCUGUUUUCAACAAAUGGUGUAGGGUCAACUGGACGCCCACAUGCAGAAAAAUGUAUUUAAACACAGAUCUUACCUCCUUCACGAACAUUAACUCGAAAGAGAACACAGACCCAAAUGUGAAAUGCAAAACCGUAAAACUGUUAGAAGAUAACCUACAGAAAUCCUGGAAGAUUUGGGGUGUGGUGAUGACGUUUCAGAUGUAAGGGAGAAGGCGUGAUCCAUGAAAGAAAUACGUGAUAAGCUGCACUUCAUUAAAAUUAAAUUAUUCUGCUCUGCAAAACAAUGUCAAGUGAAUAAUCAGGCGAGUCACAGACUGGGAGGAAAUGCUAGCCAAAGACACAUCCGAGAAAGGACUGUUCUCUACAACACACAAAGAACACUCAAAACUUAGCAAUGAGAGAACAAACACCCUUAAAAAGACCUCAACAGAUCCCUCACCAAAGCAGAUAGACAGAUGGCAGGUAAGCACAUGAAAAGAUGCUCUGCGUCAUAUGUCAUCAGGGAGAUGCGAAGUAAAACGAUAAUGAUAUAUCACUACGUAUCUAUUGGAACGGUCAAAACCCAAAACGCUGACAACACCAAAUGCUGGCGAGCACGUGUAGCACGGGAGCUCCCAUCCAUCGCUGCUGGGGACGCGGCACGGUCCCGCCAGUUUGAAAGACAGCUUGGCGACACUGUGCAAAACCAAACACACUCUUAUCAUAUGUUCCGGCAACCUCACUCCUUGGUAUUUACAAAAAGGAGUUGAAAACUUAAGUCCAUGCACAAAGCUGCACAUGGAUGUGUAGAGCAGCUGUGUUCAUAAUUGCCAGAACUCGGAGGCUACCAAGAUGUCCUUCGGUUGGUGAAUGGAUGAACGAACCGUGGUCCUUCCAGACAAUGGAAUCUUAUUCAGCACUAAACAGAAAUGAGCUACACGCCAUGAGAGGACACAGAGGAAACUUGAAUGCACUUGACUAAGUGAUAGAAGCCAGUCCGAAAAGGCUACAAGCUGUAAGAUUCCCAGUCCGUGUCAUUAUGAAAAAGGCAAGCCUGCGGAGUCUAUAGAAAGGGUACACAGCAGGAGGCCGGUGGAGUGUGAAUUAGAACCCAAUUCUGCAUCGUGCCGGAACACACGCUCCUUCUAGUGCCCAAGCCUCUGCUCCCUGGGGGUUGCAGGAGUGGCUUGGGGAAAAGGAAACAGCUCUCGGCCCUGUGUGACCAUCACCGACCAGAUCUCCUUGGUUUAAAAUCCGUCCUCAGCCUCCACUUUUGGCAGUAAAUUGGGUAUCAGAGGUAUGCAUUAUUGAAUUUCAUGUUCUCAAUGUUUAAUUCUCCAAGUGUCACGUAAUUAGCCAUUUGUAACGUAAAUUGUUUUCAUUACUUACACAAAUUGAUUGCAUUAGUGCUCCGGAUUGGUGAGUGGCAUUAACGCGUCAUAAAUACAAACCAUCCCGCAGCAGGAAAGUCAGUUAGAACUCAGGUAGCCCCGGUCCCUGAGCUGAGCACUUGACAGAGUCAAGUCAGGGCUCCCAGAACAACACCCGUAGCCUGUGUGGGAGGGGACAGCGACUCUGUCCUUCCCCUGAUGGGCCAGUGGGGCGCCUGGUGGUGGCGGAGAGGAGAGCACUUCCUAUUACAGCAGGACCACCCCUUCUGCGCCGGGGAACCCAGUGAUGCUCACAGUUACCGUGUCGAUCACCUUCCAGAACGGACACACGUUCUCUUAUUUUCAUUUAAUCCUCUGAUCCGGCCGUGAAGCGCACUGACUCAUGGAGUGGCCUGGUAACUAGGACACACGGGAGGGCAGUGGCGGAGCCCAGAUUCAAGCCCAGGUAGACGUGCCGCCCCGGUGGGUCCCCGGCCAGGACAGCUGUUCCGAAAUCGCCCGGAGCUGCCCACCUGCUCCUGACCUUUUGUCCCGAACGCCUCUGCCCCGAGGUGCAAAAGAGGAUUCCUGUAACCGGACAGCCCGGCUGUGACGCUCGGGAGCCGCCGUGAUGACUCAGCCCCCACCUGCCCUGACGGUAAGGACCUGCGGGGCGGUCGGGAGCCCAGCCGCUGCGCUAAAGCUCGUGGUGCUCACACUGUGCCCGGUGAGCAGGGCCGUGCCGGGAGCGCUGGGGACCAGGAAGGAGGAAGGACAAAGCACCACUUCCAGGCCCGGCCUCCACAACCUCAUCCGCUUGUCACGCGGUGUGGACAGAGAGGGAAGCCCCUGCUUUCUGGGGGCGUCCCUGGGUUCAGAGCAUCACCAUCCUUCCCGCCCCGAGUUCGAGCCUCCGCCAGCGGAGUCAUGUGCGAGUCCUGGCCACGCACCCAGCCUUCCUGGCAAGACCUCUCUGCCGGCCCCUCCCGUCCUCGCCUACUCGCUGCUGCACUGUUUGGGGCAAGUCGGGGUCGUCUGAUCAGACCUGAUGCUCCUGUUUAUGAGCCACCGAGGAAGCUGUGGGCACCCGGGUCAUCUCUCACCCCAUGACCCAGGACUUUUGGAACCCAGGAGCAGGGCUGGCUCCCUGGACCCCUCUCAUGGGCACGGCGCCCCGUGUGGUCCUCGUUGGGGGUCACACACACGACAAGGCACACAACGGGGCCCUGCGCACACAAUGAACUUUAACGCCCUGAGGCUGCCAUCUUGAACUUCUCAAUGACUCCUGGCGAGUGGCCUGCAUUUUCCUUUCGCACCGCGAACCGGGAGGCCAGCUCUUUGCGGACCCUCGGCUCUGAACCCCCUUACAACCUCCCUCCUCCCCCAGCUUCCCACAUCUCCCGGAUGUGCCUUCUGGAGCCCAUAACCAUCUCCAAAAUCUCGGAUAGCUUCGCCUUGUCUCUAGAUAUUUUCUUCACUUUCUUCUCAUCCGCACAGAAGACCUUGAAGAAAGCCCUGCUUCCCUCCACCCUGCUCGGCUCAUUUCCCUUCCAGGCUCUUCUCUUGCUUGCUUGGAAGAGUAGCCACUCCCUGUCUCCGCCCGCCUGUCCCCAGGAGUGUGGCUCUCAGAAAGCAAGCCACUGGCUUCAGGUGGGUCCUUCGUGCUGCCUGGCAAGGCAGCCCACCUUUCCUUAGGACGCUUGCUUUCCUUCUCCACCGAUGGCUCUUCGCCAGCCCCUUCCCUCCCCAGCUCUAGCUGGCUCACUGUCAGCUGUGCACGCAAUGACAAGACAGCCGGCGGAGGGGGGCUUGCUUAGCCUUAGCCUUAACCGCUGGCACCGGUGUCCUCGCUCCCUGCCUUCCCACAGUGGAUGACGCUGCUGUCAGCAUGAGCCCCCUCUCCUGGGCACCUCGCCCCACCUUCUAGUCCAAUCUUGUCUUUCCUCUGCCGGGUGGAUGCCUCCCUGCCCGCGGAUCUUCCCCUGGGCGUACCAACACGGCAUUGUCUCUCGCAUCCUGGAGUCUCCCUCCGCCCCCCGCCCCUCUCCGGCCCUCCUUGGCUCCUCCCUUCCUUUCAUACUCUGCACGUCCACACUGCUGUCUGUGCUCUCCUUGAGUUCUGUCUCCAUCCCCGAAACUGCGUCUACACCACGGACGCCCUUCAUGCUGCUGGCUCCCGGGUCGGCCCCCAGCCUCCGCUUAGGGGGUUCUUCUUUCCUCCUUGAAACCGUCUCUUCCCCUUGUAUCAAGGGCCCCCUUCUGCUGGCUCUUCUUCAAUGUCACCGCCAUUUACCUCUGGGACCCCGGCCGCCUGCCGCCUCCCAGAAGUCCCAGUGCAGGAGCCCCCAGGACCCACCCAGGUGGUCUCUGCCCUGCAACUUUCUCAGCGUCCCGGCUUUCCCUGCCACUUUGGCUGAGAACAUGCCCUGGGAUCCCACAGCGCACGCCUGCUUACCGAUCCCUCCUCUUGGAUACCCACUGGGCGUCUUCAACGGGUGUCAGUGAAGAACCGCUUAGUUCUUUCAGUGAUCGUGACACACCCUUGUGGUCCGUUCCCUUCCUCCCUGACCCCACAGUCCGCAAGUCAGCAGCCCUCCUGGGUCUGUCUGCUAAAUACACCUGGAACGCGGCCGCCCCACGGGCCGAUCCACACCCCGUGUCUGAGCCGCUUUCCAGGCACCUGCUGUUCCCUCAAGCUGCUUUCCGCCUGGCAGCCAGAGGGAUCCUUUGGAACCAUGCGCUAUCACGUGACGCCUCUGCGGAAAGCCCGAGUCGAGUCACCGGCGUGGCCUGCAGGACCCGGCUGCUCCCACCUCUGACGGCCUCCCGCGAGCAGGAGGCCUGUGCCGGCCGUUCUCGCGCGGGUGUCCGCGGUUGGCCCCGCCCUCCACUCCCGCGUCUGCUGGCUGCUGUCGCCGUGUCCCUCUUUCUCGUUAGUCCCGUUUCCUGUGUGCUCACCACCCGCCGAAGCACUCUGUAGGUUAUCACUUAACGUCCCUCCCCUCGCUGGAAUGUGAGCCAUUCAUAAAGGCAGGGUCUUUAUCUGUUUUCUUCCCCUCUUUAUCCCCUACUGUCUAGAGGAGGGCCUGGUUUAUCAAUAUUUAUUAAAUAAACGAAGAAAAAAAGCACAGCGGCUAUGGGCUAUGCAAGAUGGAUGCCAGGUCCGUGUGCUAAAGUGUAUGUUCUUAGCUCACAGGGAAGCUGCUGGGGCCUGCUGCUCUACUUAAAGGCUUUUAAAUCUUGAACGAGCUCGGUCAUUUGCUUUUCUCCCCGUUGGCGACGAGACUGGAGGGGAGGAGCCGAGUGGGCACAGGUGCCCGGGGAUGCCACACGGACGGCCCGGUGGACAGGUGGAGUUGGUGCCCCAGGAACAUGAGAGCCGAGCAGCGUCACACGCGGGCCGGGGGCCGUGCGCCAACAGCCUGUGCCGGGCCACCCGCGAGCGUGGAGACGGGGCACCGUGAGGAGAGGGGUGGCUGGGCUCCAUGACGGUGAGCUUGAGCUGGGAGCAAAGGAAUACACGUAUUCCAAGUGUUCUCUUUGGGGAGGGAAUCACGUGCAGGAAACGUUCAGAGAGAUUUCCGUCCGUGGUUAAUUUUUCUUAAAGCUUUCGUUCUUAAACAGGCAAACAGGCAUAAUUUGGACAUUCCGCUGAUGGAGAGUGUAACUAACUCCCCCCGAAGCCAGGUGACUUUUUUACUGAAUAGUGUACCAGCCUUACAGGAGUUUUCCAGCCGAGCUGGGGGGACAGAUACAAACCACCAGGGGCGCCUGGGUGGCUCAGUGGGUUGAG